rnacentral:tRNA from 1 species
GUUUAUAAAGUUUACAAAACAUUUCAUUUUCAAUGAAAAAAGAAUCUUAUGAUUUAUAAAUA